rnacentral:rRNA from 1 species
GAUGAACGCUCGCGGCAGGCCUAACACAUGCAAGUCGAGGGAGAAGCCCUUUCGGGGGCCGAAACCGGCGCACGGGUGCGUAACGCGUAUGCAACCUACCUUUCACAGGGGGAUAGCCCGAAGAAAUUUGGAUUAAUACCCCAUAAUAUUAUUGGAUGGCAUCAUUUGAUAAUUAAAACUGCGGUGGUGAAAGAUGGGCAUGCGUCCUAUUAGCUAGUUGGAGUGGUAACGGCACCCCAAGGCUACGAUAGGUAGGGGUCCUGAGAGGGAGAUCCCCCACACUGGUACUGAGACAGGGACCAGACUCCUACGGGAGGCAGCAGUGAGGAAUAUUGGUCAAUGGUCGGAAGACUGAACCAGCCAUGCCGCGUGCAGGAAGAAUGCCUUAUGGGUUGUAAACUGCUUUUAGAUGGGAAGAAUAAGGCGUACGUGUACGUUGAUGACGGUACCAUAUGAAUAAGCAUCGGCUAACUCCGUG